CCUUCCCAUCCAAACCAGGGGACCAAAUCGCCGCUCGAUACACCUUCCGGACAGCCUCAACUACAACUAUAUAUUGCCAUCAUAGCGCCCUGCCUGCCUUUCUCCACACGAGCUCACGCCGUGAAAGCAAGGCAGCAUGUCAGAAUCAUUGACCUCCAAAGGAUGCACAUAGGCAAACAAGCUUGGCAUAAAGCCCUGUUCAUGGAAACUUUCAUUGUUACGCAUGGGGGAUCUGGAUGGAGAGAAACAACAAGUGCUUCAGAGGAAUUCAACCCUCUCAUGCGUCCUGGCUGGCGAGAUUUAAGCAGGAUUUCACACUCACUGAGCAUAGAGCAAAGUCUAGCCUUGCUUCCUACAUUGCUUUUUUAUGUGAGCUAUCUUUAAUCUAUUUGCCUACUGUGUGUAAGUAGGAACCCCUCCGCUCCCCGAUCUUUUGACGUAACACUUAACGUAACAACAUCAACUAACCCCCUUCCCCCUUCCCUCCACACUCCUUGUAAUUAUGCUGAUUUAAUAUAUGUCACUGGAAGUC